GCAUUGGUGGUUCAGUGGUAGAAUGCUCGCCUGCCACGCGGGCGACCCGGGUUCGAUUCUCGGCCAAUGCA
rnacentral:tRNA from 1 species